rfam:Gossypium arboreum cultivar AKA8401 contig_24910_1, whole genome shotgun sequence.
AUACUUACCUGGAUGGGGUCAAUGAGUGAUCAGGAAGACUCAUAGCCUAGAGUGGAGACCUACAUUGCACUUGGUAGGGGUGCUGCUUUAAGGUCUCCCCGAGAGGGAGAGCUAUGUCAUAAUUUGUGGUAGUGGGCUAUGGACAGAAUGUAUAUGAUUUGUUCUACACCCUAC